UACGUAGGGUGCGAGCGUUGUCCGGAAUUAUUGGGCGUAAAGGGCUCGUAGGCGGUUUGUCGCGUCGGGAGUGAAAACUCAGGGCUUAACCCUGAGCCUGCUUCCGAUACGGGCAGACUAGAGGUAUGCAGGGGAGAACGGAAUUCCUGGUGUAGCGGUGAAAUGCGCAGAUAUCAGGAGGAACACCGGUGGCGAAGGCGGGUCUCUGGGCAGUAACUGACGCUGAGGAGCGAAGAGCGUGGGGAGCGAACAGG
rnacentral:rRNA from 1 species